CCUACGGGAGGCAGCAGUGGGGAAUAUUGGACAAUGGGGGGAACCCUGAUUCAGCCAUGCCGCGUGUGUGAAGAAGGCCCUCGGGUUGUAAAGCACUUUCAGUGAGGAAGAACGCCUGGUGGUUAAUACCCAUCAGGAAAGACAUCACUCACAGAAGAAGCACCGGCUAACUCCGUGCCAGCAGCCUCGGUAAUACGGAGGGUGCGAGCGUUAAUCGGAAUUACUGGGCGUAAAGCGCGCGUAGGUGGCUUGAUAAGCCGGUUGUGAAAGCCCCGGGCUCAACCUGGGAACGGCAUCCGGAACUGUCAAGCUAGAGUGCAGGAGAGGAAGGUAGAAUUCCCGGUGUAGCGGUGAAAUGCGUAGAGAUCGGGAGGAAUACCAGUGGCGAAGGCGGCCUUCUGGACUGACACUGACACUGAGGUGCGAAAGCGUGGGUAGCAAACAGGAUUAGAUACCCCAGUAGUC
rnacentral:rRNA from 1 species